UACAGAGGUCUCAAGCGUUGUUCGGAUUCAUUGGGCGUAAAGGGCGCGUAGGCGGUCAGCACAAGUCAGUUGUGAAAUCUCCGGGCUUAACUCGGAAAGGUCGACUGAUACUGUGCGACUAGAGUGCAGAAGGGGCAACUGGAAUUCUCGGUGUAGCGGUGAAAUGCGUAGAUAUCGAGAGGAACACCUGCGGCGAAGGCGGGUUGCUGGGCUGACACUGACGCUGAUGCGCGAAAGCCAGGGGAGCGAACGGG
rnacentral:rRNA from 1 species